CGAGACCUCAGGUCAGGCGGGGCUACCCGCUGAAUUUAAGCAUAUCAAUAAGCGGAAGGAAAAAGAACUUAACAAGGAUU
rnacentral:rRNA from 1 species